rnacentral:rRNA from 1 species
GACGAACGCUGGCGGCGUGCUUAACACAUGCAAGUCGAACGGAAAGGCCUAGCUUGCUGGGUAUUCGCGAGGGGAACGGGUGAGUAACACGCGGGUGAUCCGUGCCCUACUCUGGGAUAUGCCUUGGAAACUGGGUGUAUUAUCCGAUAUUCAUUCUUCUUCGCAUGGGGAUUGGUGGAAAGCUUUGGCGGUUGGGGAUGGGCCCGCGGCCUAUCAGCUUGUUGGUGGGGUAAUGGCCUACCAAGGCGAUGACGGGUAGCCGGCCUGAGAGGGUGAUCGGCCACACUGGGACUGAGACACGGCCCAGACUCCUACGGGAGGCAGCAGUGGGGAAUAUUGCACAAUGGGCGGAAGCCUGAUGCAGCAACGCCGCGUGCGGGAUGACGGCCUUCGGGUUGUAAACCGCUUUCGGCUGCGACGAAGCGCAAGUGACGGUAAUGGCAGAAGAAGCACCGGCCAACUACGUG